UGAAGCUCGGCGAACCCGAGCUUUUACAACUUCAGAACAUCCCUAGUAAUUCCCAUCGUAAUUUCACUGCAACGUUACUUGUCAAAACCAGGGCAAUAUUCUGGUGUGCAAACUACCAAAGAACAGAAGAUUUAAAACUGCAUUUUUGGGGAAGAAGAAACAGAGAAGUACAAAGAUUCUACUGAUUGAAGAGGCUUAAAUUCUAAACAGUGCAGGCGAUUCUGGAAACCAAACAGAACAUUCAUCGGUUGAAGGAAGUCCAAGCACUUUGAAUUCAUCUAACACGGACUAUUGGUUGUGUUUUACUGAAAUUAUCCUUGAGGGCGAAGGUGCCAAAUGUUUACCUCAUCUCAUAGCCCAACAUAAGCCCAGCUCACUGAAAUCAUUUCCGAACUUGGAUCGUACCUAACCUUAUCUGUAAUACAAAGAAGAGACGAUCCUCACACUUGGUGGCAAAGUAAUGCAGCAACAUUUCCUCUUCUUCUUUUAGAGGCAAAAAAUAUCUUUGUGCCCCUGCAUCAUCAGUGUAUAGCGAAAGAAUGUUCAGUGAGACAGGCAUGGUUUACGAGGAUAAACGUAACAAACUGUUACCACGGAAUGCUGAAAAGCUCUUGUUUAUACACAGCAAUGCGAAGCGCUUUGAUGUGACAAAGGUUAAAUGAACCUCCAAGUUUCCUGGCGUGAAAAAUACUCCAAUUUCGUUGCUUUCUACUAAAUGUCAGGCUCAUUCAUUUACUAAAUGUCCGCAUCAUCCACGAAAGGGUAAGGUACAAAGUUUAUGAUCAUGGUCAUUUAGUGUAUUUUAAAUACCUUUAUGUGAAAAUACUUCGUAUUAAGUUUUUAUCUCCAGCCAGCUCAAGAACAUGGCGGUGACAGUUUCCAUACGAUCUGUAGUUUGUGUAUAAUUUUUGUUUCUGAUGAUUAGUUUAAAUGCAGGUAAAUCGCAAUGAUGUGAAUUUUAAUUAAUGCAAAUAUAAGAGCUAGGAGCGACGCUAUCAGAAAAUUAGAACCAACAGAGAUUGUAAUAUGAUAUUACAAAGUAUCGUCCUGGUCGGGCUUGGACAGAAGCCAAAAAACUUUGUUUGAUGGCAUCCCACGAAAACCAGAGUUUUAUUAUGGCAUUUUUCACGAGAAUAAAUUUACAACGAUUGCUUCCCUUGUUA